UUCCAGUGAGUCAUCGGGACUUGGUGACGGAGUUGCCGUGGGAUACGGUCUGCCUUACUUCAGCAGCACAAUCAAUAUUGGAGGCUUCAUCCGACUCUUCCAUCUGAAACAGAGACAGAUUGUGUUAUGAGUGAACACACACACACACACACACACACACACACACACAGAGGAGAGACGACAGACGGGGGAGCCAGGAGCCGCUGCGUGCCGUCAGGUGUGGGCAGCAUCACUUCCUGUUUCAACCACCCGGCCAAAAUAAAGCCCUCCCACUCCACAGUAGCACCAAUCACCCGGGGCCACCUUGGGAUUUCUGUAGGCAAACCCGAGGAUCACAGAGACUCUCUCGCUCACACACACACACUCUUUGGCAAAUGCCAGAACCUGGUUAGCAAUCACAUGCAGUACAGUGCAGGCACAAAGACAAUUUGAACCAUGAAAGAGUGUAAGCCACCAACACACGACCCCCAGGGCCAAAUGCCCUAGUUUAUCAAUGCUGAGUAAUUCAGGGGUGUUUUCAACUUGGAACACUUCACAACACAAAGUAUGACAUAAUUCACCCUGUAUUAGGAUAUGUUUUAUAAUACAUUAUGAUAUAUAUAUAUAUAUAUAUUAUGCUGCACGCAUCUUCACUACAUAUUGUAUAAGAAAUUGUAAGAGUUUGGCGUUAAGAUCUGACAGAGUAGGCCACCUCUCUCUGUCAUUCUCCUAAGUGGCAGAACAGGCUGUAAGUGACUGCCUUCUGUUUAAGAACAGAUCCCUGGCUGUUUAGUCCCUGACCAAAUUGUUCCCCCCCCCCCCCAACUUUGGUCUAAACAGAAGAUAUAAGUGCAUGGACAGACUCAUAUAUAGACACUUUCAUGGCCACAAAUGCACAGCGCAUAGUAGGCUCUCCUGUCACUCACCCACACACUGUGACUGACUGUUUUUUUAAUUAGAGAAGUGUUUACUGUAAGUCUUGGGGGGCUAAACUACUAAGGACAGGUAUGGGCCGUGCGGAUUCUCCUGGAUUUUGUCCUGACGAGUGUGUGUGUGUGUGUGUAGUGAGGCCAGGAACUGGAGUUGUCCUCUGUGAGUCGAGUCAAGUCACAACACGGCCGAAGUGGAAAUUAUCUAAAUCCGAUUAACAUGAAUUCUGGCCCAAAGGCAUACACCUGCAACAACUCCAUUCCACACACACACACACACACACCUCCACCCGACCACACCAACCCCUGCUCAGGUGAGUGUCACCAGUCACUCGUUCACACAGGAGAUCAUCAAGCUGAUCAGGCCAUGAUUGGUCACAGGGGUGUGUGGUUACAGGGCAGGGCAAUCCUGAUUCACUGACUGUACAGGCCGCGAGGUCUUGCGUUUCUGUGUUGACAGGCCCUGUGUCUUAAUAGACAUCAUUAAAUUACCACUGUUUCUGAGCCAUGCAUAAACACACACACACACACACACACACUGUCUGUCUGGAUUAGCAGGCUAGCGAGUAGCUGCCCUGCCAGGUCAUGUGAAACAGGCAGAGCGAGCCACCAAUGCUACUCAACAUGUAGUUACUGUUUGGAUUAAAAUGGUGCAUUCGCAUGUGUUACCAACCAUUUAAAAUAUACAGUAGGUCAUGUUUGGGCACUGUAGCUGACCCAUCAGUUUACAGAAACAGAAGCUAACACACAGUUACAAGCUGUAAUCAGAGCUUAACAGGUGUGUGUGUGUAAAUUCAAAAAGACUGUUGCACGCUUUGUUACUAGAACUGCCACAUUUAAAUCUCACACACAGACGUCCAGUCUCCAUGGAGUAGCCUAGAUUGGAUCACUCACACGAGCAAUAAAUACUCUUAGCAAUCUGUGAUCACAUCAUCAUUGUGACAUACUUUCUAUGGUCACACAGACAACGGAAGUUUUAGAGAGAGAGAGAGAGAGA